GCUGUGAUCGUCUAGAGGUCUAGGACUCUACGUUGUGGCCGUAGCAACCCAGGUUCGAAUCCUGGUCACAGCA